UUCGCUGUGACAUCUUUGGAAUAUUCCUGCGUGUUGCUCGCUUUUUAUGGACUUGUUGCCUCGAAGAUCGCCAUGAUCGCCUCCGACUCAGCGACAUCAAGGAUUCAAAAUGAGCUGGGAGAGGCCCCAGCUGGAACGGUUCACAUAGGUUGAAGGAGUGCACAUUGAGAAGGUUAUCCUGGCACAGUUUACCAUGGCCUGCCAUGGUGGACCAGGAAAGUUUGCAAGGGCCUUGCUUCACCAUGUGUUCACAGAGGAGGAGCUCAUGGGCCAUUUGGGCUUUGGAAAUAACACCAAGGGGCAAAAAAGGCUCUUGACCCCACCAGGGUCAGUGCUGUUAUAGGCAAGUACCAUAUAUCCUUUCUGGUUGCAUUUUUACAUUCACAUUUUUUUCUAAAAUUAUGAAC
rnacentral:lncRNA from 1 species